GGGGCAGUAGCUCAGUGGUAGAGCUCCCGCUUCGUACCUGGGUUCCAUUCCCGGCUGCUUCC
rfam:Toxocara canis scaffold239, whole genome shotgun sequence.